UCUUGGUCAUUUAGAGGAAGUAAAAGUCGUAACAAGGUUUCCGUAGGUGAACCUGCGGAAGGAUCAUUAUUGAAAUUACCGGCGAGGGUUGUAGCUGGCCUUUCGGGGCAUGUGCACGCCCGAGCCUUUAAUCCAACAUACACCUGUGAACCCAAUGUAAGGGCCCGUAAAAAGGCCCCUACGUCUUUAUCACCAACUCUGUAUUCAUAGAAUGUAAUCCAUAUCUUCGCCUUAACAAGCGUUGGUAAAACUUAUACAACUUUCAACAACGGAUCUCUUGGCUCUCGCAUCGAUGAAGAACGCAGCGAAAUGCGAUAAGUAAUGUGAAUUGCAGAUUUUCAGUGAAUCAUCGAAUCUUUGAACGCACCUUGCGCCCCUUGGUAUUCCGAGGGGCAUGCCUGUUUGAGUGUCAUUAAAUUCUCAACUCCGAUUUGAUUUGUUUCUUAUCGGAGCUUGGACUUUGGAGNGUGCUGGCGUAAGGUCGGCUCCUCUUAAAUGUAUCAGCGGAAUCUAACCUUUGGAUUCUGGACAUCGGUGUGAUAAUAAAAGUUGCGCCGUCGUUCUACUUCRRAGUCCGCUUACAAUGGUCUUU
rnacentral:rRNA from 1 species